rnacentral:rRNA from 1 species
GAUGAACGCUGGCGGCGUGCCUAAUACAUGCCAGUCGAGCGAACGGACGAGAAGCUUGCUUCUCUGAUGUUAGCGGCGGACGGGUGAGUAACACGUGGAUAACCUACCUAUAAGACUGGGAUAACUUCGGGAAACCGGAGCUAAUACCGGAUAAUAUUAUGAACCGCAUGGUUCAACAGUGAAAGACGGUCUUGCUGUCACUUAUAGAUGGAUCCGCGCUGCAUUAGCUAGUUGGUAAGGUAACGGCUUACCAAGGCAACGAUGCGUAGCCGACCUGAGAGGGUGAUCGGCCACACUGGAACUGAGACACGGUCCAGACUCCUACGGGAGGCAGCAGUAGGGAAUCUUCCGCAAUGGGCGAAAGCCUGACGGAGCAACGCCGCGUGAGUGAUGAAGGUCUUCGGAUCGUAAAACUCUGUUAUUAGGGAAGAACAUAUGUGUAAGUAACUGUGCACAUCUUGACGGUACCUAAUCAGAAAGCCACGGCUAACUACGUG